rnacentral:rRNA from 1 species
AAAUUGAAGAGUUUGAUCAUGGCUCAGAUUGAACGCUGGCGGCAGGCCUAACACAUGCAAGUCGAACGGUAACAGGAAGCAGCUUGCUGCUUUGCUGACGAGUGGCGGACGGGUGAGUAAUGUCUGGGAAACUGCCUGAUGGAGGGGGAUAACUACUGGAAACGGUGGCUAAUACCGCAUAACGUCGCAAGACCAAAGAGGGGGACCUUCGGGCCUCUUGCCAUCAGAUGUGCCCAGAUGGGAUUAGCUAGUUGGUGAGGUAACGGCUCACCAAGGCGACGAUCCCUAGCUGGUCUGAGAGGAUGACCAGCCACACUGGAACUGAGACACGGUCCAGACUCCUACGGGAGGCAGCAGUGGGGAAUAUUGCACAAUGGGCGCAAGCCUGAUGCAGCCAUGCCGCGUGUAUGAAGAAGGCCUUAGGGUUGUAAAGUACUUUCAGCGGGGAGGAAGGUGUUGUGGUUAAUAACCGCAGCAAUUGACGUUACCCGCAGAAGAAGCACCGGCUAACUCCGUGCCAGCAGCCGCGGUAAUACGGAGGGUGCAAGCGUUAAUCGGAAUUACUGGGCGUAAAGCGCACGCAGGCGGUCUGUCAAGUCGGAUGUGAAAUCCCCGGGCUCAACCUGGGAACUGCAUUCGAAACUGGCAGGCUUGAGUCUUGUAGAGGGGGGUAGAAUUCCAGGUGUAGCGGUGAAAUGCGUAGAGAUCUGGAGGAAUACCGGUGGCGAAGGCGGCCCCCUGGACAAAGACUGACGCUCAGGUGCGAAAGCGUGGGGAGCAAACAGGAUUAGAUACCCUGGUAGUCCACGCCGUAAACGAUGUCUACUUGGAGGUUGUGCCCUUGAGGCGUGGCUUCCGGAGCUAACGCGUUAAGUAGACCGCCUGGGGAGUACGGCCGCAAGGUUAAAACUCAAAUGAAUUGACGGGGGCCCGCACAAGCGGUGGAGCAUGUGGUUUAAUUCGAUGCAACGCGAAGAACCUUACCUGGUCUUGACAUCCACAGAACUUUCCAGAGAUGGAUUGGUGCCUUCGGGAACUGUGAGACAGGUGCUGCAUGGCUGUCGUCAGCUCGUGUUGUGAAAUGUUGGGUUAAGUCCCGCAACGAGCGCAACCCUUAUCCUUUGUUGCCAGCGGUUAGGCCGGGAACUCAAAGGAGACUGCCAGUGAUAAACUGGAGGAAGGUGGGGAUGACGUCAAGUCAUCAUGGCCCUUACGACCAGGGCUACACACGUGCUACAAUGGCGCAUACAAAGAGAAGCGACCUCGCGAGAGCAAGCGGACCUCAUAAAGUGCGUCGUAGUCCGGAUUGGAGUCUGCAACUCGACUCCAUGAAGUCGGAAUCGCUAGUAAUCGUGGAUCAGAAUGCCACGGUGAAUACGUUCCCGGGCCUUGUACACACCGCCCGUCACACCAUGGGAGUGGGUUGCAAAAGAAGUAGGUAGCUUAACCUUCGGGAGGGCGCUUACCACUUUGUGAUUCAUGACUGGGGUGAAGUCGUAACAAGGUAACCGUAGGGGAACCUGCGGUUGGAUCACCUCCUUACCUUAAAGAA